rnacentral:lncRNA from 1 species
CUGGCAACGGCUGACAAUUAAAGGCAGCGGAUUGGACAGUGGGGAGGACACAGAAUUCCAAGGAGCCCCUCCCUUCCAGCUGCCAGGGCUGUGCUCAUACACGAGCCCCCCCCCCCCCAGGGGCUUCAGAAAGUCCCCACCGUCAUAUGAGGACCUCCCACUCACUCAUCCACCACCCCCAAAGCCUGUGCACCCUCGGGCUCAUCCCAACAACCACUUUCCCCCAAAAAUUCACUGGGGACUGGAACAAAACACGGCCCAUCAGAAGCUGUUACUGGACACCACUGAUAGACACGUGGUAGCUAACCGAGAGCUGCUGACCGGCUGAAUCCCAUGAGCACAACGCGUUCCCAGCUCAGGCCCCAGCACCUCAGAUCUGAACUGCACUCACUCAAGGACAGCACCAAAGUGCCUGCAAACCUCCCAUCAUCACAAGGACAUUUCUGCACAUGUGUCUUG